rnacentral:rRNA from 1 species
AUUGAACGCUGGCGGCAGGCUUAACACAUGCAAGUCGAGCGAGCGGCGGACGGGUGAGUAAUGUCUGGGAAACUGCCUGAUAGCGGGGGAUAACUACUGGAAACAGUAGCUAAUACCGCAUACCAUCAGAUGUGCCCAGAUGGGAUUAGCUAGUGGGUGGGGUAAUGGCUCACCUAGGCGACGAUCCCUAGCUGGUCUGAGAGGAUGACCAGCCACACUGGAACUGAGACACGGUCCAGAAUCCUACGGGAGGCAGCAGUGGGGAAUAUUGCACAAUGGGCGCAAGCCUGAUACAGCCAUGCCGCGUGUGUGAAGAAGGCCUUCGGGUUGUAAAGCACUUUCAGCGAGGAGGCGGUACUCGCAGAAGAAGCACCGGCUAACUCCGUGCCAGCAGCCGCGGUAAUUC